GAAGGUUGGAGCAGGCAGCUGCAGCUCCGCCCCCCCCCCAAAAGACUGAUAGAGGACAGGACGCCUCCAUGCAUUCACCCACCUCCACCGCUGCUCAACACAUCGCCGACCAACCAGCUGACCUUCAGUCUCCACUGGUUUGAUUGGCCGAAGCACGUGGAGCAACAGGUGUUUCACCAACUGAAGAAGAAGAAGAGGUAAAGGAAGGAACCAACAAAGGAGAGCACUGAAAGAAGCCAAUCUAAACAAAAAAACACCCCUAGGAACUUCAGUACCUUGAGGAGGAUGUCUUCAUCUCAGAAAAGAUCUGGACACAAACCAUCUGGACUUAAACGUUUCUGUUUGUGGCUCCACCGCUGCUCCUCACCCCCCCCUCCUCCCCCUCCUCUUCCUCUCCCUGUCAGCUGUGGCGUCCCCGACUCUCCGCCGGUGUCUUGUCGUCUCCCCCUGCUGGUUGUCCUGCUGCUCUGCAGUCUGCUGCUGAUGCUGCUGAUUCUGCUGUGGAAUUACCACUGUUUGUUCAUCUCCCACAUCUGCUCCCAACAGGGGGAGGAAGGGGAGGAGGGGGGACGGAGGGCCAUGGCCCCCUGGCGGUGACAGUGGCACCACCCACCUCCUGAAACCAGUCCUGCAGAAACCACAAAUAAAGAUGAUUUUGGCCGGGGGUUAGUUCCGAUUUUAGAAUAUUUUGCUUCAUCUACAAACAUUUCUUAUCGUAAACAAGAACUACAGGAUAUUAAAAGAGGUGAAAAUUGGGUUGUUCUCAAGACUGCUCACUGCUGCAAUGUUAGUAUUUCACUUCUAGUUGUUGUGAGAUUGAAAAGACUUUUAGCCCAAAAAUCUGGAUCCUACAUUUCCAAUGAUGCAACUGGACAGCGUCUUUCAGUAGAGCCUCAUAGACUGACGACAUCAUUAUGACAUCAUCUGCGUUAUCAGAGACAGUGUAAAAAUGUGUGCAAUUCUCCUUUAACAUUGUUAGAAUUUACCAUAAUAAAAGCUCCCUGAUUGCUU